GACGAACGCUGGCGGCGUGCUUAACACAUGCAAGUCGAACGGAAAGGCCCUGCUUUUGUGGGGUGCUCGAGUGGCGAACGGGGGAGUAACACGUGAGUAACCUGCCCUUGACUGUGGGAUAACUUCAGGAAACUGGGGCUAAUACCGGAUAGGAGCUCCUGCUGCAUGGUGGGGGUUGGAAAGUUUCGGCGGUUGGGGAUGGACUCGCGGGUUAUCAGCUUGUUGGGGGGGUAGUGGCUUACCAAGGCUUUGACGGGUAGCCGGCCUGAGAGGGUGGCCGGCCACAUUGGGCCUGAGAUACGGCCCAGACUCCUACGGGAGGCAGAAGUGGGGAAUAUUGCACAAUGGGCGGAAGCCUGAUGCAGCAACGCCGCGUGCGGGAUGACGGCCUUCGGGUUGUAAACCGCUUUCGCCUGUGACGAAGCGUGAGUGACGGUAAUGGGUAAAGAAGCACCGGCUAACUACGUG
rnacentral:rRNA from 1 species